rnacentral:tRNA from 1 species
GCGCCCGUAGCUCAGCUGGAUAGAGCGACAGCCUCCGGAGCUGUAGGCCGUGGGUUCGAAUCCCGCCGGGCGCACCA